GAAAGGCCUCAACUAUGCUUGUCAAGGGCUAAGUCAGGGGAAACUCUGAUGGCGGCUCGUAGCGAUACUGACGCACAAAUCGUUCGUCGUGGCCGGGUAACGGGUCGUAAGACUAAUCGAACUAUCUAUUAAC
rnacentral:ncRNA from 1 species